rnacentral:lncRNA from 1 species
UUGUGUGAUAGUUAAAUAGAUGUAUAUAAACGGUUGGCACCCUUUUUACGAAAAUGUAGUACUUGAACAUGUUGAGAUUACGGGUUUGCUAACCAAGUUAUUAUUGAGUAUGUUUGAAAGUGCAGGUUAUGUAUGUCGGACUUUCGAAGUGUUGAUAUAGAAAUAAAACGAUUGAAUGAUGGAAGGUUAAUUGGGUGGAAGUAACUUAUGCGGUAAAUCCU